ACUUCUCAUUCUCAACUCAACCUACUGUGGCUGAAAUGAAGGGAGUUCACAACAAUAAUGAAGAGGAUGAUGAUGAUGUGGAUGAAACCCGUUUCCACAAUCCAGUUCAUGGCUUUUUCCAAUCGAUUGAUUCAAUGAAUCACCAAGUUUAUAAUAGAAAUAGUCAGCAGCAUGAAAGAUCUAAUGGACUACAACAAGAACUACAAGAUUGGGCCUGUAGUUGCGCCUCCUGGUUAUAUGAAACAUCAACAUGAAGUACGACAGCAGCAGAGUUUAUCAGUGGUUCGUCCUCAGCUCGCCAACCUGGG